AUUUGUGUAUUACACUGCAAGCAAAUUAUACUUUGUAAUAUCAGUUCUUCUUAAUGAUUUCAACAGUCAUUGAAAUGCAUUUUACCGAAAAUUGUGUAACAUUGUAACUUUUACUUCAAUGCAAAAUUUAAAAAUUGAAAUGAUACAUAAUUCAUUUCAAGGCCAAUGGAAUAUCAAGGUCAAGGUUUGAUUACAUUUGUUAAAAAUAAUAAGCAAAAGGAAUCUGAAAGUUCAUGUUAUUAAGUUUAUUCUACAGCGUAGGAGGUGUUCACUAUAUGCGGCGUUUAAAACUGAAAGCUGUUCGUAAUAGAGGAAAUUGAUCUGAAGUAAAGUCAUGCCAUACAUGGAUGCAUCUAGAUCGGAACGUCUGGACGUAUGUGUCCAGUGCGGUUUUAUGAUUCUUUGAUUGCUGUGGACCACUCUUGACUGAUUUCCUGCCCCAAGGGAGUACUAUCAAUUCAACACAACACUGCAAUACUCUGAUGAAACUACGGAAAGCAAUCAAAAACAAACGGUCAGGCCUUCUCACACAACAAGUGAUCCUUUUCCAUGACAAUGCCCAGCCAAACGUCUCCACGAAGUGUUGGAACACCAGGCGUAUAGUCCGGAUUUGUCACCUCGUGACUUCCACAUCUUUGGGCCACUUAAGAGAACAUUACUAGCGACACCUUUCCAUUCGGACGGACUUCCUCAAGAAUUAACCACCAUUUUUCUACAGCAAAGGCAUAGACCUGCUAUCUAAACAAUGGGGCCUGUGUUAUAACACCCACGGCGAUUUCUUUUGAUUUUCAAUAAAAAUACUCUUUCCAUUCAA